rnacentral:rRNA from 1 species
CCUACGGGAGGCUGCAGUGAGGAAUAUUGGUCAAUGGACGAGAGUCUGAACCAGCCAAGUAGCGUGAAGGAUGACUGCCCUAUGGGUUGUAAACUUCUUUUAUCAAGGAAUAAAACGAGGCACGUGUGCCUUUUUGCAUGUACUUUAUGAAUAAGCAUCGGCUAACUCCGUGCCAGCAGCCGCGGUAAUACGGAGGAUCCGAGCGUUAUCCGGAUUUAUUGGGUUUAAAGGGAGCGUAGAUGGGUUGUUAAGUCAGUUGUGAAAGUUUGCGGCUCAACCGUAAAAUUGCAAUUGAUACUGGCAGUCUUGAGUACAGUUGAGGUAAGCGGAAUUCGUGGUGUAGCGGUGAAAUGCUUAGAUAUCACGAAGAACCCCGAUUGCGAAGGCAGCAUACUAAACUGUGACUGACAUUGAGGCUCGAAAGUGUGGGUAUCAAACAGGAUUAGAUACCCGAGUAGUC